AUGUCCGCUGUUGGACGUUUAACAUCAACCCGGAAAAACACAAAUCAGCAGCAAAAAAGCAGAACAAAGUUACCACCGUGUUCGUGGAUCCGAUUGUUUGGACGGCGACUCAGGGUGGAACAGAGUCUGGAUGGGCUUGAACCACAAAAAUUGCAAGACUGAAGGGGGAUUCUCCACCCAAUUUUUAAUUAAUCCACACCAGGCUGCUUGACGGGGCAAAAUCCUCUCAGCCACUUCAACUCAUCAGGACCAAGUUCAAUAAAAUGCUGACUUUUCCCAUCC